UACGUAGGGGGCAAGCGUUGUCCGGAUUUAUUGGGCGUAAAGAGCUCGUAGGUGGUUCGGUAAGCCGGAUGUGAAAUCCCCGGGCUUAACCUGGGAAUGGCAUUCGGGACUGCAAGGCUGGAGUGCGGCAGAGGAGACUGGAAUUCCUGGUGUAGCAGUGAAAUGCGUAGAUAUCAGGAGGAACACCGAUGGCGAAGGCAGGUCUCUGGGCUGACACUGACGCUCAUGCACGAAAGCGUGGGGAGCAAACAGG
rnacentral:rRNA from 1 species